UGGUGGAGUGAUUUGUCAGGUUAAUUCCGAUAACGAGCGAGACCGUCAUGAGGUGUUGGGAUUGUAUAGUGAAUUUUGCUAUAUUUAAUUGAACCCUCCUCAGACUCUUUACAAAAGUAAAGGGAAGUUGACGGCAAUAACA
rnacentral:rRNA from 1 species